rnacentral:lncRNA from 1 species
ACAACUGCCUCACAAGCAUCCCAGAGUCCAGUCAGCAGACAGCAGAAGAGACUGUCAGCAGACCACCUUGGAGGGGAUGCUUGGAGCUGCCUAACGUGUGAUUCAAAGAUGAAUUCCAUGUGUUUGGAGAAGAAGCCCUAGCCUCAACACAAAGGUUGGCCACAUUCCAGCCAAGGUAGCACGGAGUGAAGGCCCGUGGAGGGAGAGCUGGGCUUUUCUGAACUACUUCAGUACACCUUGCUGUGCCUUGGCCUGCCGUGUUUCAUCCCCAUGGCUGUCCUCAGUGAUGUGCAUGGUCACUGCUCCCUUCACCACUGAGAAGACGGGCACAGGACAGUCAGGGGAUGUGUCCAAGGUCCCACAGCAGGAAGGGCUGGAGCCAGAAUGUGGUCUGAGAGGCUGGAUAUACAAAGAGACAAUGGCAUGACCAUCUGUACAAAUGGAACUAUGGCCCACAACCUGCAGCAGCCAGCCCAGGAAGCCAACCCGUCACCUGCAGCAGCCAGGAUGGAUGCUGGCCUGCCCUCAGGUGCCCUUGUUGGAGAACAUGGGGGGCCAAAUUCCAAACGUGGCAAGAGAUAACAAAUGACUUGUCUGGUGGCUGAACCCUGAGCUGGGAGCACUGCCUGGAGAAAACUCUGAUACUCAAGUCUAGUUUUAUAUGGCUCCAAACGCCUCCACCAUGAGCUCAAGGCAGUGAGACUGACUGAAAAACCCUCUCUAUUACAGACCACAACAUUGAACCCAACAUCCCCCUAAGUAGGUUGUACUCACAUCAUUGGUCUUAUGGGGAAAUUUUAAGACCUCCCACUUGUAAGGUUUUAUAGCCCUCUAUGGAAUAUUGAAGAAAGAGUAAAAUGCAUCCAAAAAAAAAAAAAAACACUAAACUGGAUAAAUUCUAAGGCCUCUUCAGGUCUUAAGAUGGCCAUUUUCUAGGUCCUCUUGCUGCAGCAGUGAAAUCCACAAACACGGACAAGUCAGUCAGUUACGUGCCUUUCAGAGAAAACUUCUGACUUAGGAAUUCCAGCUAUUUGGCCCAACCCAUAUUAGAUUGUGUUAUAAAGACAUGGUAAAUUACAUCACGAAGGGAAGAGCAGAGGAAACAUAAUAUUCCUUCAAGACCCAUCAGCUCAGAUGUUAGCAGAACACCCCUAAGGAGGAAAACAAGAAAUUUUGGGUUUGAACUUGGUACUUCCCAGCAGCCCUGGGAGUGGGGUCAGAAGCCCUGCUGGGGGCCAAAGAACUCUGAGGAUCAAAGAUGUUGAGCAUCACCUUAGAGGCCAAAGAUCAGAACAGUGGAGGUGGCCUUUGAAGCCCAACCUGUCUUUCACCAGAGAGUGAGAACGGCCUCUAUUUCCAGGAAGCUCACUGCAGCAAUAAUCAUGAUGCUCUGAGCCUGACAAGGUGAGAAUUUACUUUCAGCACCUGCAAUAGUUUCCUAUUAAAGUUACAUAUGAAACCCUGCCGUCUUGUACCAACUAAUGUUCACACCAGCGUUCCUAUUUUCAAGAUAAAUUGCAAAAUAAAAACUCUUGUUUUCGUUAGCAAAAGAAAACUUCUUUAGGAGGAUAAAAGGGAGAUGAAGAAACAGAAAACACAUCAGCUCUCCAUCCAGAUUACAGAAAGCAGAAAACAUCCUGAAGUGAAUAACAUAGGAAUCGCUCUUUUUCCCCCCUGAGAUAGCAGGUUACUUAUGAGAAACAAGCUUGAAAUCUCUGCACCUGGACCAGCUUCCAGAGGCUUUUGUCCUGACCAGCUGGCUUUGGGGAAGUAAAGGAAACCAGAGAAGAAGAGGCUGAAAGAAUUGGUUUCCACCGUGACCUUUGAACCCUCGGGCGAGUUGUCAGCCUCACUGAGGAUGAGUGUACUCCAUAUCAAGUGAGGUCACUUUACUCGCAAGCUUGUUGUGAGGACUGAAUGAAACCUUUUCUUUUUUCUUGGAGUUUCAGAGCAACGUCCCUGAGCCCAGCCCCACACUGGCUUGAGCCCUGUCGUCGGUCAAGACACGGUGCUUUCUCCCCUCCCCUCUGCACUCCAGCUUACUCUGCAGUCAGGAGGUGGCACCACGAUCCCCUUUAAGACUUUGCCACUUGGGCCAGCUGCGCCCCUGUGAAAUUCCCUGUUUCUAUUGCAGGCCACAAGGACGAGCUGAGAAAUGGCUUCCAGUCACCAUCUAGAUUAGAAAGCCUAUAUUUCAAAUAUAGAUAUAUCAAUUAUGCCUGUAAAAAGACAUUAAAUCCCACAGGGCUGUAAUUCCUAGACUCUACGAAUUUCAUCUUGCACCAAAUUUUAUUAUUUCAUUUAUAAUUCGGAUUCUUCAAAUCUAAGAGUGCCUGGCUCAAAAUUAAAAUACCUACAACUAUGCCAAAA